CCAGGCGGUGGGCAGGCUGACCUGAACGCUGACUUCGGGGCCGGUGGCGGCUUCGUAGUCGAUGCCCUGUUCGGCCAGGGCGGCCUGGG
rnacentral:tRNA from 1 species